CGUUUGAACAGAACCUUUUCCAAAACUUUUCUGACCUACAAUGACUGCUCUUUUAUGAUCUUGUAAAGCGCCUGCUACGAUUUCUGAGGCUGAGGCAGAGCCGUUAUUAAUUAACACUACUAUAGGCUUACCCUUGGAAAGGUCACCACGUCUAGCAUUGUACCUUUGGCUGUCAUUAAGGUUUCUACCUCGUGUGGACACAAUUUCGCCUUUAUCUAAAAAAGCAUCAGAAACUGAUAUUGCUUCCGAAAGAAGCCCUCCUGGAUUGUUGCGUA
rnacentral:ncRNA from 1 species